CAGCAGCCGCGGUAAUACGUAGGGUGCAAGCGUUAAUCGGAAUUACUGGGCGUAAAGCGUGCGCAGGCGGUUAUAUAAGACAGAUGUGAAAUCCCCGGGCUCAACCUGGGAACUGCAUUUGUGACUGUAUAGCUAGAGUACGGCAGAGGGGGAUGGAAUUCCGCGUGUAGCAGUGAAAUGCGUAGAUAUGCGGAGGAACACCGAUGGCGAAGGCAAUCCCCUGGGCCUGUACUGACGCUCAUGCACGAAAGCGUGGGGAGCAAACAGGAUUAGAUACCCCAGUAGUCCCUGUCUCUUAUAA
rnacentral:rRNA from 1 species